AGCUACUAGGAGAAGCCACUCGUAGUGUGCGUGCCCGAACCCACGGACUAGGCUGGCCAUGGCGAUGGCGACGGCGGAGGACAAACGGACGUCACCGGAGCCCGCGGAGCUGCCGGCCGCCGUACGUGCGAGCGUGGAGCGGAAGCGGCAGCGGGCGCUGAUGCUGCGCCAGGCGCGGCUGGCAGCGCGGCCAUACCCCGCGGCGGCGGCCACCGGAGGCAUGACCAGUGUAAAAGCCCCUUCCAAAAUGAUUGACACCAAAGGAGGCUUCAUUUUAGAAGAGGAGGAAGAAGAGGAACACAAGAUUGGAAAUAUUGUUCAUGAACCAGGGCCCGUCAUGGAGUUUGAUUAUGCGAUUUGUGAAGACUGUGGGAAAGAAUUCAUGGACUCAUAUCUUAUGAACCACUUUGAUUUGCCAACAUGUGAUAGCUGCAGAGAUGCUGAUGACAAACACAAGCUGAUAACAAAAACAGAAGCCAAGCAGGAAUACCUUCUGAAAGACUGUGAUUUAGAGAAGAGAGAGCCCGUGCUUAGGUUUAUCGUGAAGAAGAACCCUCAUCACUCACAGUGGGGCGAUAUGAAGCUCUACUUAAAGUUACAGGUUGUGAAGCGGGCUCUUGAAGUUUGGGGUAGCCAGGAAGCGCUAGAAGAUGCAAAGGAAGCGAGGCAGGAAAACCGAGAGAAAAUGAAGCAGAAGAAGUUUGAUAAAAAAGUAAAAGUGCUUGGUGGAUCUGUCCCUGUCCUGACCAGACCACAAAGGGCUGAGUGGAGUAGACUGUAGAGUAGAAACGAGGAGCUGAUUGCGCAGUUUGCUCAGAACAGAGAGGAAUCAAAGCAAGUCUAAAGGCUUUUUAGUUGGAAUGACAUUGGAACAUGGUUCCUCUUGAUGCACAGCGAAGCUGACAUAAAACUUUCUUCUUUAUGGGAAGAAUUGCGGCGAGCAGUAAGAAGCAGCGUGUGGAAAAGAGAAAUGACUGCUCACCAACAUGAGUAUGGACCAGAGGAAAACUUGGAAGAUGACAUGUACCGCAAGACGUGUACCUUGUGUGGCCAUGAACUGACAUAUGAGAAAAUGUGACUUUUAAAGGCAAAUUUAUAUUCAAAUAAAGGCUCUAUUCAACUGUAA